rfam:Asian citrus Psyllid, Diaphorina citri - Florida Strain, whole genome shotgun sequence.
GCCCUAGUUAGCUUGGAUGGUGGCGCGUCUGCCUUGUAAGCGCUAGGCCGCGGGUUCGAUUCCCGCCCGGGGCG